AGUUGCAGUGAGCCGAGAACGUGCCACUGCACUCAAGCCUGGGCAACAGAGCAAGACUCCGUCUCACCUGACGACCCCGCCCAGGCCUCGGAUCUGAUCACAUAGGACAGUAUGCACCUUAAUAUCCUGAAGAAGAGGCACAAAAUGUUCAAGUGAUGUUUAGAAACAACUUGGGAGGGUGCGUCAGUGAAAUCAUGCAGCCAUCAGGACACAGGCUCCGGGACGUGGAGCAUCAUCCUCUCCUGGCUGAAAAUGACAAUGAUGACUCUUCGUCAUCCUCCUCUCAGGUUGACGUGGCAGACAGGGUCUGGUUCAUCCAUGACGGCUGUGGCAUGAUCUCUGCUGAUGUGACAUGGCUUCCGGUCAUCUAUGCAGACUUCGUGGUGACUUUCAUCAUGUUGCUGGCUUCUAAAGCCUUCUGGUACUCUGUGGUCAGUGGGGUCAUCUUUAACUACUUGGCCGUGUUUGCCCUGUUGUCCCACCUGAGAACCAUGCUCACCGACCCCAGGGCAGUACCCAGAGGAAAUGCUACAAAAGAAUACAUGGAGAGUUUGCAGCUGAAGCUCAGGGAAGUGAUCUACAAGUGCCCCUAAGUGCUGCUGUAUCAAACCAGAGCUCGCCCACCACAGCAGUAUUUUCAAAAGACAUAUUAGGAAAAUGGAUCAUCACUGCCUGUGGGUGAACAAUUGUGUAGGAGAAAAGAAUCAAAGAUGUUUUGAGCUCUUCACUAUGUAUAUAGCUCUGUCUUCAGUCCAUGCCCUGAUUCUCUGUGGAUUUCAGUUUAUCACCUGCAUCUGAGGCAGUGGACUGAAUGCAGUGAUUUUUCACCUCCAUUCACUGUAAUCCUGUUGACCUUCCUGUGCCUGGAGGGUCUUCUGUUUUUCACUUUCACUGCAGUUACGUUUGGCACCCAAAUCCACUCCAUAUGCAAUGAUGAGAGGGAGAUCCAGUGAUUGAAAAGCGAGAAGCCCACAUGGGAGUGGAGGCUGCCCAGGAAGGGAUGAAAUCAGUCCUUAGGGACCCUGUUACUCCCCUGGAUGAAUUGGUUUGUCAGCUUCUGUUUUAGGCAAUGCCCAGGAGACCCAGAAAAGGCGGUCUGGAGUUCUUGGUGUGCAGCCUGGCUCAUCAGGCUGGAACUUACUUGCUCACAGACUUCCACUUAUUUAUUUGGGGUCUGACGGGUAUCGACAGCUCAUCUGUGACCAACAGGACAACUGGAACCUACACAAACCAAUUGCUUGCAGCAAGCAGAGUUUUAUAAAUAUUUAUAGUCACAGAUGGCAGAUUCUCCACACCAGAAGAGGCUCUCCUCAGUCUCCACCUGUACAACCAUGGAUAGGUGAUAAAAUAGGAUCCUUGAGCCAGGCGCGGUGGCUCACGCCUGUAAUUCCAGCACUCUGGGAGGCUGAGGCGGGUGGAUCAC